rnacentral:rRNA from 1 species
UACGAAGGGGGCUAGCGUUGCUCGGAAUCACUGGGCGUAAAGCGCACGUAGGCGGAUUGUUAAGUCAGGGGUGAAAUCCUGGAGCUCAACUCCAGAACUGCCUUUGAUACUGGCGAUCUUGAGUCCGGGAGAGGUGAGUGGAACUCCGGGUGUAGAGGUGAAAUUCGUAGAUAUUCGGAAGAACACCAGUGGCGAAGGCGGCUCACUGGCCCGGUACUGACGCUGAUGUGCGAAAGCGUGGGGAGCAAACAGG